rnacentral:rRNA from 1 species
GACGUAGGGCGCGAGCGUUUGUCCGGAUUUAUUGGGCGUAAAGAGCUCGUAGGCGGCUUGUUGCGUCGACUGUGAAAACCCGCGGCUUAACCGCGGGCUUGCAGUUGAUACGGGCAGGCUAGAGUUCGGUAGGGGAGACUGGAAUUCCUGGUGUAGCGGUGAAAUGCGCAGAUAUCAGGAGGAACACCGGUGGCGAAGGCGGGUCUCUGGGCCGAUACUGACGCUGAGGAGCGAAAGCGUGGGGAGCGAACAGG